AGAGAAGCUUGCUUCUCUGCUGACGAGCGGCGGACGGGUGAGUAAUGCUUGGGUAUCUGCCUUGUGGUGGGGGACAACAGUUGGAAACGACUGCUAAUACCGCAUAAUCUCUACGGAGCAAAGUGGGGGACCUUCGGGCCUCACGCCACAAGAUGAACCCAAGUGGGAUUAGCUAGUUGGUAAGGUAACGGCUUACCAAGGCGACGAUCCCUAGCUGGUCUGAGAGGAUGACCAGCCACACUGGAACUGAGACACGGUCCAGACUCCUACGGGAGGCAGCAGUGGGGAAUAUUGCACAAUGGGCGCAAGCCUGAUGCAGCCAUGCCGCGUGUGUGAAGAAGGCCUUCGGGUUGUAAAGCACUUUCAGUCGUGAGGAAAGGUAACGUGUUAAUAGCACGUUGCUGUGACGUUAGCGACAGAAGAAGCACCGGCUAACUCCGUGCCAGCAGCCGCGGUAAUACGGAGG
rnacentral:rRNA from 1 species